rnacentral:rRNA from 1 species
AAUGAACGCUGGCGGCGUGCCUAACACAUGCAAGUCGAACGAGAAAGCCUGGCUUGCCAGGCGAGUAAAGUGGCGCACGGGUGAGUAACGCGUGGGUAAUCUACCUUUGUCUGGGGGAUAACCUACCGAAAGGUGGGCUAAUACCGCAUAACGUGGUUAGAUUAAGUUUUAAUCAUCAAAGAAGGCCUCUCCAUGGAAGCUUUCGGGUGAAGAUGAGCCCGCGUCCCAUUAGCUAGUUGGUGAGGUAACGGCUUACCAAGGCGACGAUGGGUAGCUGGUCUGAGAGGAUGGCCAGCCACACUGGAACUGGAACACGGUCCAGACACCUACGGGUGGCUG